AACGAGAGCAAAGAAGGAAGCAUGUGAAAUUUUGGGUCCUGCGUUGUUUGCCGAGAGCAAGCGGAUUUACGUGUUUUUAGUUGGUUUUUAGUGCAGUGAAGGGCAGUUAUUAGUUUAAUUAUGGCGCACCUUUUUUCUGAUUUUAAAAUGGAGAAACGGAAGUGUUUUAGAUAUUAGGGAACACGUUUUGUGUAGCGUCAUCCACGAGGUUUUUUGAACGCGCGUGUGUGUGCGCGUGUGCUUCAAUAGAUGCCGGCAUAUUCGUUCCAGGAAAAAGUGUUUGUACCAGAAACGAAGCAGCCAGACCUAAAGACAAUAGGCUUUGUUCGCGAGUAGUGUGUGCUUUAUUAUUUCUUAGAAAAUGGUGUCAUUGUAAUGAAAUACGUUUGUGAUGUGUGAGGGCAUGUUUGGCUAUUCAACAGAUCCGUUGCGAGGCCACCGGUUGAUUGUGUGUGGCCUGGAUAUUACUUUUGGUGCGGAUCGCGGCCUCGUGCUCCGGUGAAAUAGAAUGAUUAGUGUGAGGUUAGAGGAGAGUAGUGUCCAGUUGAAAUGUACCGAACGAAAAUGCGGUUUAAUUUAUCAGAAUUGCGUUUUGCCGGUAAAUAGAUAUGCCGAGCAUUUUAAAAGCACAAGGGUCGUGUUGGGUUAUUUAUACAGCCUGUUCCAUGCCUUCAAUUAGCUACCUAGGUUGCCUCUAGAAGAAUCUGUGAGAAAUUAGGGGACUAUUAUUUUCUGCCUUAAAUGCUUCUGUUUGAUGUUGAGCACUGGCCGAUCCCAAAGAGAGCUGCUUUAUGAUUGCAUUUUUAUUGAGAAAUCGACGAAGUGAAUGCCUGAACAUCGUGGACGAAGUACUUACAGCAAGCAUUUAAUGAGGUCUUGCAUUUAACUAUGGAACAUUUAAUGAAGUAAGUCCUUUUUUCGAUUUGGGGCUGGGAAACCCUCAUAGGGAUCUAUACGAGAUCGCCGAUUUUAUCUUGUAGCGCAUCCGCCUAGUGCGGCUCUCUAUCCAACCGUUUUUUAGCUCGUUAAUGGCCAUGGGCCGACUGUUUGGACGCUGGAAUUCAUCCGUUUUCCAGAGCAGACCAGUUUCGUAUCUCUGUUCUCGAUAGCGAGAGCGUUCGGAUGUGGUUGAUAUUCAGUGCUUUGCGUUCUCCUCGUUGUUCUCCUCGAUUCCUGUACGAAAAAUAUCCCUUUUCCUUCUUUCACCUGUCUCAUUUAGAUCCGCUCUCCCUCUAAUCCGCACGUUUACUAUCUCUUAUCGAGAUAUUAUCACUCUAUUCACUCUAGAUAAUUCUAGAGUCGCGUGUACAUUUAUUACUCGACUUAUGCUUCGGUUCCGUCUGCGAAGGAACUCGCUUGGGUGACAUUCUCUCGACACUAUGUAACUCAGCAAGUGCCGGCUUUGACACCUAUUUGUAAGAUUUUGCAUUUUCAUUGUCCGAUUGGACACGAAUGGCUUCCUAUUGUGGUGUGGUGCAUUUAACCAGUGCCAAACGAUGUUGUAGUCAAGUAAUGACGAAAAUUUGCUGUACGAACGACAGAUUACAAGGAACGGGUCGUUGACACCAAACAAGAGGGAACGUGGUAACAGGGAAAGCUCGUAAUCGGCCCGCCUGCGCAGGCGUCUAUCCGGAACAAAAACAUUAGUGGAGGAGCUAACGCAAAGCGCACCAUCGGACUAUAAAAACUAUCUGUUGCGGAUGGCAACGUAAUAAUUAAAAAAAGGAUCUGGACGUUUCUUUAAAUGCGUUUAUUUGAUGCUCAAACGAUUUAAAAAAUAUAUCAUCUUGCUUCCGUGUCUGCUAUCGAAAAAGAACCUCGACAAGCCAAGCUCUCCUGCCGAUCCCGCAGCGCGACCGGGGCGCCACGCACACUCUUUCCGGUCCGGCGGGAACGAGACGGCCACCGCUCCUCUCGAGAUAGCUAGCCGUCCUGUCAGCUCAGCUAUUCAGCGGUCCUGGUGCUGACGUCGCCAACAUCCUCCCCCCUGUAUGCCGUUGUUGCCAGUGGCCUACCUAAGCCUUGGUGCCAACGUCCAGCACCGCGAUUUUCACUGCCGGUCUCUUUAGCAGUCCGCGUGACGUUUUUACAGUUGCUCGUCGUACUUGUCCGCCUGCAGCGCGCACAACGUCGACCAAUCGUCCUCGUGGCCAGUCGUUGCGGCUAUUGUUCGGGUCGACGACCAAAACAAGAUCUCCUUCCCUGAUGGGUUUCGCUGGCUGGUAGCAUUUGAUUCUUUGGUUAGCGUUGGUAGGUAUUCGUGAACCCACCUCAAGCCAAAGCAAGUUGGCGAAAUCAAUGGUUUCUUUCCAGGUUCGUUGCGCGGCAGUGGGUGAAUCAUCAAACGGUAUGUUGCCGUUUGAGCUGCCUAGGGUGAAAUGGUUUUCUUCGAAACGGAGGUAGGCUACGGCGGAGGUCCCAUUCUCGCUGACGUCACAGAAGAUGUGAAGACUGAUCUUGGUGGACACUUCAGAUGUAGUUCUUUGUCGGUAGCACCGAGGGAUACUGAUCAGUUCCACCUUCGAGCACCGUGAUCCACAGCGACCAUGUUUCCUUUAGUUUACCGCUGAUCCCCUCGUCCCAGGAGCAUUUUGCGCGCCAGAUUUCCUAAAUUCAGGUACAUUAAAAGGUUGCCGACCAAACCCAUGGGGUCAUAUAUGGACAUUAGAACCCUAAAGAUUGAUCUCUUCGUGGGCGAUAUUGUCUGUGGGUCACGUCGGGGGUUGAGUCUGAAUGUGAAAGCAUCCGAUUUUGUGUCCCACCACAUGCCCAGGACUUUCUCUGUGGUGAGUGCUGCGCUCGUUAGUAGUUCCUUCUUCCCAGCAGCUUCGCUGUUCAGGUGUAUCUUGACUUUGGAAGAGUUGGACAACCAAAGUUUCGGAUUUCGAAACCCGCAGCUGAGCGAAUGUGUCGCACCUCUUCGGCGAGCGUGAUCGCCUCCAUCUCGGUUUCGACACUCGAUAGCAUAUCGUCGACAUAAUGUUCAUAUUUGAUGACCUCUACUGCUUUCGGGUAUUGUUCCAGGAUCGGCGUUGGCGUUUUUAACAUAGUGAGCAGUGCUGGGUGAACAAGCCGCUCCAAAGGUCAUUACAGUGAGGAUGUGCACCUGUGGAACGUUGUCGCCCUUUCCGUCGUUCCAGAAAAACAUCUGACUUCGUUGGUCGCGGGGGUUCAUCCUUACUUGGAAGAACAUCUCUCGAAUUUCUCCGGUGACGGCGAUCUUGUUUUCCCGGAACUUGAAUAGCACGGACAGCAAAUCGACUAGCUGGUCGGGGCCAGUGAGCAACUGUGAAUUUAGGCUAACUCCGUUCACCUUCCCGGCGGUGUCGAAGACUACGCGUAUCUUUGCUGGUUUGUUGGGGUUGACCUCCGGGAAUAUUGGCAGGUACCAGUCGUUCGAAUGGCUCUCCGCUAGUUCCAUAGUGGUAAGCUUCCUCGUGUACCCUUUGCUUUCGUAUUCCUCUAUCUUUACCCGCAUUGCUGUCGCCAGCAUUGGGUCUCGUUGUAGCUUCUUCAUGAGACAGUGAUGUCGCUUUAGGGCCAUAGCCCGGCUGUCCGGCAGCUUAAUGUUAUCAGCUUUCCACAACAACCCUGCUUCGUAGUGUCCCUCCCGUUGGAGGACUACGGUCUUCAGGAUCUCAAGCGCCCUUUCUUCUUCAACUGAUUUUAGAGUUGAGAUUGCAGCACCUACUCCCAGCGAGUCGAUUGCAAAGUACUGUUUCAUUGCUUCGUGGAAGUUAUCGUCUCGAUCAUUGCAUGUGCACAGGUGCAGGUUCAGUAAUGUAUUCGGGGGCCCAUAGACGUGUUGCUUCUUGCACGGCCCGUACACUGUCCACCCUAGGCAGGUUUUCGCGGCUGCCAGCUCUU